UUGAAGCGUAGAAACUGCCGUCACUGUGCAAACUUCUUCUUCCUUUUUCAGGCUGGGAAUAAAAUAGGCGACCAUCUAACAAUUUACACACAUUGCGAACGCAAUAAACUGAAGCUUCUUUACAAGGUCGCUAUUUGCUAGGUUUAUCGUAGGCGUCUUCUGAUGUCUCAUUCUUCUAAUUUGUACUUUGGUAU